rnacentral:rRNA from 1 species
CCUACGGGUGGCAGCAGUGGGGAAUAUUGGACAAUGGGGGGAACCCUGAUCCAGCCAUGCCGCGUGUGUGAAGAAGGCCCUCGGGUUGUAAAGCACUUUCAGUGAGGAAGAACGCCUGGUGGUUAAUACCCAUCAGGAAAGACAUCACUCACAGAAGAAGCACCGGCUAACUCCGUGCCAGCAGCCGCGGUAAUACGGAGGGUGCGAGCGUUAAUCGGAAUUACUGGGCGUAAAGCGCGCGUAGGUGGCUUGAUAAGCCGGUUGUGAAAGCCCCGGGCUCAACCUGGGAACGGCAUCCGGAACUGUCAAGCUAGAGUGCAGGAGAGGAAGGUAGAAUUCCAGGUGUAGCGGUGAAAUGCGUAGAGAUCGGGAGGAAUACCAGUGGCGAAGGCGGCCUUCUGGACUGACACUGACACUGAGGUGCGAAAGCGUGGGUAGCAAACAGGAUUAGAUACCCGGGUAGUC